GCCCUGGUGGUGCAAAGGGUUAAGCACUUGGCUGCUAACCAAAAGGUUGGUGGUUGGAACCCACCCAGCGGCU
rnacentral:tRNA from 1 species